GCAUUGGCUCUUCCUGCUGCCAGCCAGGCGGCUGCUGGUUGACGUUGGAGUUGUACAGUUUAUGUGAUAGUGAUGACAGCGCUGGCUCUGAAGGGUACUGAAGAUUUUGAAGGGGUACUUCGCUGCAGCAGCUUCACCUCUCACUUUUGUUUACCCACCCCCGAGGCUUGUGGGAGAGAAGGAUCAGGCAGAGCUCUGCACGUGCCAUGCCAGGGGUGGAGGAAUUAUAUUUUUAUUUUUUGCUUUCUCUGCUACAGGACAUACCAUGCCUUUUACAGAUAUUUAUAGGACAAUUUCCCUCCUGAGAGUGCCCAAGCAUGGGGGAUGGUGAGGAAGAUGACUGAAGGAGAAAGCAGGAAAAGGGGGUGUCUGCAUGUAUGAGGAUUGGAAGCCCUGGACAACUUUCAGGAAGACAGUUCUGGUCUGUAGCAAUUAACACAUGGUCAUCCUCAGAAAAAGGAGAUACCCAUAACUUAAAAUGCAGGAACCAAGAGAUUUGAGCCUAGACAUUUGGAUGAAAAGCGAUUUCCACCUGGAGAAAGUCACUGCCCUUCUGUGCAGAGACUCUUCCAGCUGACCUACUAAGGCUGCCCCUUGACCUUGAGUACAAAUGGCACUCAUGCCCAAACAGCCGCUUGACCAGAGCCAACCGACAACCUCCUGUGAGUUUCUCAGCCCCAGGCUGGAUCUGCAGUACCAUUGUGUCUUGAAUCCAGCUUGGCCAUAAGGAAAUGGGGCGAGACUUUGUCAUGUAUGUCGCUGAAGUUCAGCUAUGCAAAAAUGUUCACCUAUCCUUGAUCAACCAGUCCAGGAACCAUCAAAGAAGAAAAUGAGAUUCGACUUAGAAGACCUGUUCUUUAUAAACCCCUGCACAGCCCUAAUGAUCAACACCACUUCCAGUGCUCAUAAAUUACUGCUUCAAUAAUUGUUCUGCAAUUCUGCCUAUUCUCAUUGAAUGCUUCGUAUAAUCCCUUUAUUUACUUUGGGCUACGAUUCAUUUUUAUCAGUCAAAUGACUACUAGACUAUCCUGGUUUCUAAUUUGAAAUGUAUCCAAAGAAGAUUCCUGUCUCACCCUCUGCAAUCCACUUGCAUGUCUGACCACACUCGGUGCCUACACAAUCUUCACUUUGUCUAGCCUAAAUUCUUCUAACUGUGGCCUAAGGCCUUGGAAGAAUGAUGCCUCUGUGGGGUAAGAACUGCCUUCGUGGCAUAAGAAAGGCAGACCUGGGUGAUCUGGAAGGGCUGUUGCAAGGGGAUAGGAGUGCUGAGGCCUUUUCCAUUAAGAAUACACAGGACUAUGGAGACUCUUGUUUUACUAGAAACUUCUUCACAGAUACCUUAAAUUAGGAAGAAAAUGCCUUUGGUUCUUGGUUCUACUAUUGGCUUCAAAUUCUUAGGCAUGCCAGACCCUACUGAACAUCUUGACACAUGUCCUUUCUUCUCUGAACUGGCGCACAGGCAUGGUGAGUAACU
rnacentral:lncRNA from 1 species